rnacentral:rRNA from 1 species
AUUGAACGCUGGCGGAAUGCUUUACACAUGCAAGUCGAACGGCAGCACGGACUUCGGUCUGGUGGCGAGUGGCGAACGGGUGAGUAAUGUAUCGGAACGUGCCCAGUCGUGGGGGAUAACGUAGUGAAAAUUACGCUAAUACCGCAUACGAUCUAUGGAUGAAAGCGGGGGAUCGCAAGACCUCGCGCGAUUGGAGCGGCCGAUAUCAGAUUAGGUAGUUGGUGGGGUAAAGGCCCACCAAGCCAACGAUCUGGAGUUGGUCUGAGAGGACGGCCAGCCACACUGGAACUGAGACACGGUCCAGACUCCUACGGGAGGCAGCAGUGGGGAAUUUUGGACAAUGGGCGAAGGCCUGAUCCAGCCAUUCCGCGUGCAGGAUGAAGGCCCUCGGGUUGUAAACUGCUUUUGUACAGAACGAAAAGGUUUCUACUAAUACUAGGAGCUCAUGACGGUACUGUAAGAAUAAGCACCGGCUAACUACGUGCCAGCCGCCGCAGUAA